rnacentral:lncRNA from 1 species
GUGACCCUUUUUGGUCUUCUCAGGAAACAGCUACACAACCAGAGGAGACGGAGGAAUGAAACAGACAGUAAACUCUCCACGAACAGCAAUGCCUUCCAUGGAAAGGGCAACGGAUUUCUGAGUUACCGCACAAAAGAUGCCGGCACAGAUGCUGAUGGCCCUUCUGGGGAGAAACCUGCGGCCAUGGAGCGCGACUCCUUUGUUUCUCUGCUAGUGACCAAGCGCCAGCUUGCCAGGACGACUCCCAGCCCAGAUUCUUAUGUAGAUCUGUGAUGCCCCCCAAAAUUGGAUUCUUUAAAAUAGGUAAAAUCCCUUUCUUUAAUUCCAGUUUAAACUGAUUUUGAUGGAAAGGAUAGAGGAAUCAUACAUAGAAAAAUUUUAAAAUGGGGACUGAAGUAAAUAUAGUUUAGUAGUAUACUAGUUACAGAAUGAACAGCAUAUUGUAUGUGCUGUGUUAGAGGUAUGUUAUGAAUAACAAAAGCACUGGAGCAUUUACAUAUUUGUUUUCAGAAAUCCUGGCAGUUGGAUUUCACCAUUCUG